rnacentral:rRNA from 1 species
CCCUUAGAUGUUCUGGGCUGCACGCGCGCUACACUGACGCACGCAACAGGUGCCUGCUCCGAGAGGACUGGGUAAUCAUUUGAGUGUGCGUCGUGAUGGGGAUAGAAUAUUGUAAUUAUUACUCUUCAACGAGGAAUUCCUAGUAAGCGCCAGUCAGCAGCUUGCGCUGAUUACGUCCCUGCCCUUUGUACACACCGCCCGUCGCUACUACCGAUUGAAUGGUUUAGUGAGGCCUUCGGAUCCGCGAUUUUAUUGUGGAGAAGUUGGACAAACUCAGUCAUUUAGAGGAAGUAAAAGUCGUAACA